rnacentral:rRNA from 1 species
UACAGAGGUCCCAAGCGUUGUUCGGAUUCAUUGGGCGUAAAGGGUGCGUAGGCGGCGCGGUAAGUCGGGUGUGAAAUCUCGGGGCUUAACUCCGAAACUGCAUUCGAUACUGCCGUGCUUGAGGACUGGAGAGGAGACUGGAAUUUACGGUGUAGCAGUGAAAUGCGUAGAUAUCGUAAGGAAGGCCGUGGCGAAAGCGAGCCUCUGGACAGUUGCUGACGCUGUGGCACGAAGGCUAGGGGAGCAAACGGG